rnacentral:rRNA from 1 species
ACGCUGCGGCAGCUACACAUGCAAGUCGAGCGUAGAGAGAAGCUGCUCUCUUGAGAGCGGCGGACGGGUGAGUAAAGCCUAGGAAUCUGCCUGGUAGUGGGGGAUAACGUUCGGAAACGGACGCUAAUACCGCAUACGUCUACGGGAGAAAGCAGGGGACCUUCGGGCCUUGCGCUAUCAGAUGAGCCUAGGUCGGAUUAGCUAGUUGGUGAGGUAAUGGCUCACCAAGGCGACGAUCCGUAACUGGUCUGAGAGGAUGAUCAGUCACACUGGAACUGAGACACGGUCCAGACUCCUACGGGAGGCAGCAGUGGGGAAUAUUGGACAAUGGGCGAAAGCCUGAUCCAGCCAUGCCGCGUGUGUGAAGAAGGUCUUCGGAUUGUAAAGCACUUUAAGUUGGGAGGAAGGGCAUUAACCUAAUACGUUAGUGUUUUGACGUUACCGACAGAAUAAGCACCGGCUAACUCUGUGCCAGCAGCCGCGGUAAUACAGAGGGUGCAAGCGUUAAUCGGAAUUACUGGGCGUAAAGCGCGCGUAGGUGGUUUGUUAAGUUGGAUGUGAAAUCCCCGGGCUCAACCUGGGAACUGCAUUCAAAACUGACUGACUAGAGUAUGGUAGAGGGUGGUGGAAUUUCCUGUGUAGCGGUGAAAUGCGUAGAUAUAGGAAGGAACACCAGUGGCGAAGGCGACCACCUGGACUAAUACUGACACUGAGGUGCGAAAGCGUGGGGAGCAAACAGGAUUAGAUACCCUGGUAGUCCACGCCGUAAACGAUGUCAACUAGCCGUUGGGAGCCUUGAGCUCUUAGUGGCGCAGCUAACG